GACGAACGCUGGCGGCGUGCUUAUCACAUGCAAGUCGAACGGAAAGGCCCUGCUUUUGUGGGGUGCUCGAGUGGCGAACGGGUGAGUAACACGUGAGUAACCUGCCCUUGACUUUGGGAUAACUUCAGGAAACUGGGGCUAAUACCGGAUAGGAGCUCCUGCUGCAUGGUGGGGGUUGGAAAGUUUCGGCGGUUGGGGAUGGACUCGCGGCUUAUCAGCUUGUUGGUGGGGUAGUGGCUUACCAAGGCUUUGACGGGUAGCCGGCCUGAGAGGGUGACCGGCCACAUUGGGACUGAGAUACGGCCCAAACUCCUACGGGAGGCAGCAGUGGGGAAUAUUGCACAAUGGGCGGAAGCCUGAUGCAGCAACGCCGCGUGCGGGAUGACGGCCUUCGGGUUGUAAACCGCUUUCGCCUGUGACGAAGCGUGAGUGACGGUAAUGGGUAAAGAAGCACCGGCUAACUACGUG
rnacentral:rRNA from 1 species